rnacentral:rRNA from 1 species
GCUUAACACAUGCAAGUCGAGCGAGAAUCGUUUUGCUGAAGGAUUCGAUCUGACGCAGAAUGAGGAAAGCGGCGAACAGGUGAGUAACGCGUGGGCAACCUGGCCUUAAGAAAAGGAUAGCCCCCGGAAACGGGGAGUAAUACUUUAUGAGAAUAGAAAAGGGCAUCCUAUUUCUAUUCAAAGCGCAAGCGCUUAAGGAUGGGCCCGCGUAUCAUUAGCUGGUUGGUGAGAUAACAGCCCACCAAGGCAACGAUGAUUAGCCGGUCUGAGAGGGCGAACGGCCACAUUGGAACUGAGGGACGGUCCAAACGCCUACGGGAGGCAGCAGGGGGGAAGAUUGCGCAAGGGAGAAGAACUCUGACGCAGCAAUACCGCGUGAGCGAAGAAGGUCUUCGGAUCGUAAAGCUCUGUUAUCAGGGAAGAAGAAAAUGACGGUACCUGAUGAGCAAGUCCCGGCUAACUACGUGCCAGCAGCCGCCGUAAUAC